rnacentral:misc_RNA from 1 species
AAACUGCGAUAAGUAGUGUGAAUUGCAUUUAGUGAAUCAUCGAAUCUUUGAACGCACAUUGCGCCCCUUGGUAUUCCAUGGGGCAUGCCUGUUCGAGCGUCAUUUGUACCCUCAAGCUCUGCUUGGUGUUGGGUGUUUGUCCCGUCUCCGCGCGUGGACUCGCCCCAAAGUGAUUGGCAGCCGGCGUACUGGUCCCGGAGCGCAGCACAUGUCGCGCAAACGAGUGCCUUGGUACGGCGGCGUCCAUAAGCCCCUCUCUCACGCUCUUGACCUCGGAUCAGGUAGGGAUACCCGCUGAACUUAAGC